rnacentral:rRNA from 1 species
GACGAACGCUGGCGGCGUGCCUAACACAUGCAAGUCGAGCGGGGAUUUAAGUGGAAGUUCUUCGGAAUGGAGAUUUAAAUUCUAGCGGCGGACGGGUGAGUAACGCGUGAACAAUCUGUCCCGGACAGGGGGAUAACACUUGGAAACAGGUGCUAAUACCGCGUAAGACCACGGCCUCGCAUGUGGCUGAGGUAAAAGGAGCAAUCCGGUUCGGGGUGAGUUCGCGUCAGAUUAUCUAGUGGGAGAGGUAACGGCGCCCCAAGGCGACGGUCGGUAGCCGGCCUGAGGGGGUGAACGGCCACAUGGGAAGUGAGAGACGGUCGAAACCCCUGCGGGAGGCAGGAGUGGAGAAUAUUGGGCAAGGGGCGAAAGCCUGACACAGCAACGCCGCGUGAGGGAAGAAGGUUUUCGGAGUGUAAACCUCUGUCCUAUGAGACGAAGGAAGUGACGGUACCAUAGGAGGAAGCCCCGGCUAACUACGUG